AGGGAAUCUUCGGCAAUGGACGGAAGUCUGACCGAGCAACGCCGCGUGAGUGAAGAAGGUUUUCGGAUCGUAAAACUCUGUUGUUAGAGAAGAACAAGGAUGAGAGUAGAAUGUUCAUCCCUUGACGGUAUCUAACCAGAAAGCCACGGCUAACUACGUGCCAGCAGCCGCGGUAAUACGUAGGUGGCAAGCGUUGUCCGGAUUUAUUGGGCGUAAAGCGAGCGCAGGCGGUUUCUUAAGUCUGAUGUGAAAGCCCCCGGCUCAACCGGGGAGGGUCAUUGGAAACUGGGAAACUUGAGUGCAGAAGAGGAGAGUGGAAUUCCAUGUGUAGCGGUGAAAUGCGUAGAUAUAUGGAGGAACACCAGUGGCGAAGGCGGCUCUCUGGUCUGUAACUGACGCUGAGGCUCGAAAGCGUGGGGAGCAAAC
rnacentral:rRNA from 1 species